UACGGGGGGGGCAAGCGUUGUUCGGAAUUACUGGGCGUAAAGGGCUCGUAGGUGGCCAACUAAGUCAGACGUGAAAUCCCUCAGCUUAACUGGGGAACUGCGACCGAUACUGGUUGGCUUGAAUUCGGGAGAGGGAUGCGGAAUUCCAGGUGUAGCGGUGAAAUGCGUAGAUAUCUGGAGGAACACCGGUGGCGAAGGCGGCAUCCUGGACCGGCAUUGACGCUGAGGCGCGAAAGCCAGGGGAGCAAACGGG
rnacentral:rRNA from 1 species